rnacentral:lncRNA from 10 species
UACAAUGAAAACAACGAGGCUACUAAGGAAGGGAGCCAAGAAAUUACUGGUGGUUGAGGGACACGCUGAAGAGGAAUUGUGCCAGGAAUCCCUGGCUAAAGAAAAGUAAUAAUGAUGACAGUUACCAUUUAUUGAAAGCUUACUAUGUGCAAGGUGCCGUCGUAAGUGCUUUUCAUGUACUAUCUCAUUUUAUUCUCACAAAUCUCUAGAAGUAAAUAACACUAUGUUUGCAGAGAAAGGACCCAGGAGACCCAAGUGGAUUAACAAGAAUUAGGGGGGUAAGAGUGUGAGACCAUAUGAGUGAGGGGUAACACAGCAUGGUGGGGAUGUAUUUAAGAAAGACCACAAUGAGUGUAUGUGUCCAGAAUGGAAGAUUGUGUAAGAACACGAGGGAAAGGGUGGAGGGAAGGGAAGGGUUACAGAUGCUGAGAGGGAACCGAAGGCGUUGGGGAGGAGGGGAGGAGUUAGUUGAGGCAGGAGAGAAGCCAAAAGGGAGGUGGAGGAGCAGCCAAUAGGGAGGGAAGUGGGAAGGACUUAGAGGAAGGAGGAGGAGCAGUAAAAAGGAAAACAGAAGAGCAGAGGGGAAGAGACUAGAAAAAGCAGCAGUGAGGAGGAAGAAGACGAGAUGAGAGGGAAGGGAGGGAGCAGAAAAAGAAGAGGAAGGGGAGGAACUGUGAGGAAGGAGGAGAUACUGAGAGGGCGGGAAAGAUCCGCGAAGUGGGAGACUCCGAGAUUGAAAGCCCCUGAGACAUACCCACAGGGAAGGCAAUGGCAUUCCGGGUCCAAGUCCAUGAGCUCUCGGCCCUGGUCGUCCCCUAUCGGCCCUAUACCCCUACCCGAAGCCUUCCCCUCACAUCUCUCUCACUCCCUCCAAUCCUCACCUGACAAAAUGCGAUUUCUCGCUCCGCCUGGCAGAAGUUGACCGCGGCUAAC